AGCAGAGUCUUAGCAGCGGGACAGCCUGUGAUGCAGAAGAGCCACUAACAGAGCCCCAGUCACAGACGCUGCCCCCUAGGACUGGGACAGAGCUGUUACAGCUAGAGCUGCUCUGGUCCCCCCAGAGACCUCCAGAGCAACAGAGACAAACUUCUCAUCUAGAACCAAAGCCUGGACCAAGCACACAGUGUGACCCAGAGACAGAUCUUCACAUAGAGCAAGGUGGGAAGCUCCUACAAGCACCAGUUUCUGCAUAACUAGAACAGGAAGUGACAUCUUCAAUGGAGGGGACGCCACAGGGGACAAAGCUGGAGACUGGGGUGUCCACUGGUCAACCUGUAAAAGGGGCGGGACCGAACACAUUCACCAAGCCAAGAGCGAACCACGAGGCACCUGAGGAAGAGUGUGAGGAGGAGGAAGAGGGGUCAAAUGGAGGUGGGUGCCAGAGGGGUGGGCGGCAGUCCCCUGACGAGAAGCCUGGCAGCAAAAAUGCUUCAAAGUACAGCACCGUAUCCUACAGGAAGAUACGAAAAGGGAACACCAAACAGAGGAUUGAUGAGUUUGAGUCCAUGGUAAACACAUAACCCUGAUGUCAAUGUACUCCGUAAGACCAUCCUGAACAGUCAGACCAAGAACAGAGAUUUGGACUAACAGUGAGCUAACUGCAAAAUAUACUUGGAUGAUAAUUAUUCUGUGACUUGUAGAUUCACGCUGCACACGUAGAUCAGACUUACGGUAAAUUAGUUGAUGUUGACAGACCUUGAGACAAGAAGGUCUACGUUUAGAAAAAUAUACUUUACACAUACACUGAGUGUACAAAACAUUAAGAACACCUUCCUAAUAUUGUGUUGCAGAACAGCCUCAAUUUGUGGACUCUACAAGGUGUCGAAAGGAUGCUGGCCCAUGUUGACUCCAGUGCUUCCCAUAGUUGUGCCAAGUUGGCUGGUGGACCAUUCUUCAUACUCACGGGAAACUGUUGAGCAUGAAAAUCCCAGUAGCGUUGCAAUUCUUGAUACAAACCGGUGCGCCUGGCACCUACUACCAUACCCCGUUCUUGCCCAUUCACACUCUGAAUGGCACACACAUACACAAUCCAUGUCUCAAUUGUCUCAAGGCUUAAAAAUCCUUCUUUAACCCGUCUCAUCCCUUUCAUCUACACUGAUUGAAGUGGAUUUAACAAGUGACAUCAAUAAGGGAUCAUCUUUCACCUGGAUUCACCUGGUCAGUCUGUGAUGGAAAGAGCACUCAGUGUACUUUACAUUUACGGACACAAGGUGGCACUUGAGAUCUAGAUUAACUAAGGACCAAACAGCAGGCUGUGUGUGUGUGUGUCUUUACACAUGGUCUCCCUUCCUGUCCCUCCUCCACUGAUAAGAGGGCUCAUUAUUUCUCAGGCCCAUGGUCAAUAUCUGUGUGUGAGACAGAGAGAGAGAGAGAGAGAGAGAGAAAGAUGAGCCCAUUUAGCAAAGCAGUAUGGUCAGACGGCAGCAUAGUUGAGGCUAGACUGCAGUGCCACCUGCUACGUUAGUUCUCCUAACCUGCUAUGUUAGUUCUCCUAACAUGCUACAUUCAUUCUCCUAACCUGCUAUGUUAGUUCUUCUAACCUGCUGAGUAAGUUCUCCUAACCUGCUAUGUUAGUUCUCCUAACCUGCUACGUUAGUUCUCCUAACCUGCUACGUUAGUUCUCCUAACCUGCUACGUUAAUUCUUCUAACCUGCUGAGUAAGUUCUCCUAACCUGCUACGUUAGUUCUCCUA